CUCAGUUCCGCCCCCUCUGACGGACUCAGCCCCGCCCCGCGCCCAGACGGCCAAUCACUGGCUUAGAUCUGAUUGCGUCACAAAGGCACUGGCAGCCCGCCCCCGCCAAGGUCGCGCUGUUGCCAUGGUGACGGCAAACUGGCUCGGUCUGAGGGGCCGAGCUCGCGCAGGAGACCCUCGCACAGGUACUGAAGGGGCAGGUGAGGCGCGGAGGGGCUACGGUUGCUGUAAAAGAGGUCUUCCAAAGCCCCCGGAGCCCUUCUUGUUGGUUAGUGAAGAUUUUGGCCCCACCUCGCCUCUCUUCACCGUUUCUGUCACCUUUCCGGAUUCCUUCACCGUCUACCCUGGUCUCUUGGGGCCUUCAUUCCUUGACCGCGAAAAGAAAGGCGCUUCUUCCCUAAAAAAUCUUCCUUUCUUUCUCAAAGUAAUCACUCUUCAGGCAUCUUGAGCAAAGUGCACUGAGAGCGGAGCCUCCCGAAGGCUGUUCCCUUUGUCAGGGGUUGGAGUAGAGUUAGACCAACUUGGCAGUUCCGCCCAGUUCUGAUGGGCAGCACCAGAAACCAAGGACUCCCUGUGUGUGGUAUGGGAAAGUGGCCUUGGUAAAUGACGUGCGUAGCUGCGGCGCCAUCCACGACUAGGGAAGAAGAGCAUCUUUAAGAAGCCAACCCCAGCGCCCAGUUUGUGUGGUUUAGAGAUAUCCAACCCAGGUGCCUUGGGUCUCCAGACCCCAGAGAUCUUGAGACAGAGUCUUGCUUCAUCGAGCAGCCUGGAGUGCAGUGGCAGGAUCUUGGCUCACUGAAAUCUCCCCUCCUGGAUUCAAGCAAUUCUCCUGCCUCAGCCUCCCGAGUAGCUGGGAUUACAGGAGCACACCUCCACACCUGGCUAAUUUUAUAUUUUUCUUUUCUUUCUUUCUUUUUUUUCCAAAAUAAAGGAGAGUGUCAAGUUUCAUAUUUUUUCUUUCUUUUUUUUUUUUUGAGAUAGACUCAUGCUCUGUCACCAGGCUGGAGUGUAGUGGUGCGAUUUCAACUCACUGCAACCUCCACCUCCCGGGUUCAAGUGAUUCACCUGCCUCAGCUUCCCAAGUAGCUAGGACUACAGCCGUGUGCCACCAUGCCCAGCUAAUUUUUGUAUUUUUUCAGAGAGAUGGGGGUUUUACCAUGUUGGCCAGACUGAUGUUGAACUCCUGACCUUAGGUGAUCCACCUGCCUCAGCCUCCCAAAGUGCUGAGAUCACAGGCAUGAGCCGCCACACCUGGCCAACAUCCUGUUGUUUAAGCCACUUUGGCAAGGUUUUCCUGCACUUGAACCUGGAAGCAUCCUUUGUGAUAUGCCAUCCUUUAUGACAAGGAUGUCCCAUUGUGAACACCCAUGGGACUCUGGACCACCCUCCCACACCCUGCACAGCUUCUGGUGGAUCUCACCCUCUCUUUGAAGCCCUUUCCCCACUUGGCUUGAGACAGCAUUUCCUUGUCUUCAGCCUUUCUCAGGGGGCCUCCCUGGGUCUCACUUUCUCACCUUUGCAGUGGCAGUGCUACAGACUCUGGCUUUGGAGCCUUCUUUUGAUCUCUUCACACUCCUUAAAUGAAGGUAUUGAGACAUGAUUUUUAAUUCCAUCUGCAUGCUGACUUUCCAGGCCGCUGUUUUUGUGGACCUCCAGCCUGUUUUUGUGGACCUAAGCUCAAGCAGUCAACUUCCUCACACACAUCAUGCAUGGGUGUUGUAUUAGUCCAUUCUCACACUGCUGAAAAAGGGCCUGAGACUGAGUAAUUUAUAAAGAAGAGAGGUUUAAUUGGCUCAGGAUUCUGCAGGCAAUACACAAGCAUGGAAGCAUCUGCUUCUGGGGAGGGCCUCAGGGAGCUUUCACUCAUGGCAGAAGGUAGAGCGGGAGCAGGUGUGGCACACGGCAGGAGCAGGAGCAAGAGAGGGAAGGAGGGGGUGCCCCACGCUUUCAAACAAUUGGAUCCCUCCAGAACUCACUCACUCACUAAUAGGAGAACAGCACCGAGGGGAUGAUGCUAACUCUUUCAUGAGAACUCCGCUCCCAUGAUCAAAUCACCUCCUACCAGGCCUCAUCUCCAACACUGGGGAUUACAGUUGAACAGGAGAUCUGGGUGGGGACACAAAUCCAAACCAUAUCAGAUGUCUGAUGUUCAUUUCACAUUGAACAUGUUCAAAAUAGAAUUACUGAUACUCCUCAAAAAAAUAUGACCCUCCAGCAGUGCUCCCUGUUUCAGCAAAGGUGCCAGGCUUACCUGGAGGCCCAGACCUUGACCCUGUUUCGCAUGUCCUAUCUGGUCCAUGUCUGAAUCUGUCGCCCCACCACCUCCACGGCUCCUGCUCUGGUCUGUCUCACCUGAACUACUGCAAGAGCCUAAAGAAGGGAUCCUCUUGCUACUGUUCUCCUACAUUUAAAACCCUGAUAGCACUCUGAAGCACUCUGACAGACACAUCAGUUUUGUGGAUCACUUAGCAAUGUGCCUGGUAAUGGCUCUCAGAGGGGGACUGGGAUCCAGAUCUCCAGGGCCCACUCUGGUUCUAUUGCCUGGAGUUCAUCUUCAGGUCUAACCACAUGGAGCGAAGCUCAGCCAUGGCCAUUUACUCCCCCACCCUGCUCCUGGGAGCAGAGAUUCUAUGUUGAAGAACUCGAGGCAAAAACAGGCAGGGAUGUUAGGUCCUCCAGCAGGGAGGGGUGUCUAGACAGGCAUGGGCUCCAGCAGGAGCAUGGAGCUGGGGCAGUAAGCAGAUGUUGUUCCAGAGAGGCUGUGGAAACACACUGCAAUGAUUUCAGAGCCCGCCCCAUGCCUGAAGUGAGUGGCCUUGGUGAAGCACUUACCCACGAUCUCAGCUGACCUCCAGGACAGAGCUGAGAUGGAUAGAUGUUAGUCACCAAAGUUCAAAGGGAUCCUCUUUCUCGAGGUCUCCAGUGGCACUAAAUGAAAAUGAGGGGCCACAGCAUGAGCUCACUCAUGAUGCUGCACUGUUUGAUGCUCUUUGCUCAUGUUAACUAAUUGAAAACACACAACCCACCAGUGGGGAGGCUCUGUUAUCGUUAUUCUGUAGAAAGGCAAAAUGGAAAUUCAGAGAAGCCACAGCCAGCUUGCAACUCAGUCUCUAUCCUCUCAGCUAGGAUCCCAGCUGUGACAAGACACUCCCCUCUGUGGCUUCCUGACUGUGAAUUUGUGUCCCAGCCAACCAUGGAGUUGUGGAGAGUUUCUUCCUGUUUUUGCCUGAGAGUCCUAGAAACCUUCACUCAGCUACUGGACACAGUCUCGGGGUAAUGUUGACUGGUGCAAAGAUGUCUGCACCACCAGCCAUGUCCUUGUGGUGUCAUUUGCUGAGUGUCCAAUCUGGCUCUUUCCACCCUGCCUUUGAGAUGGUCCUCUGUUAGAGAUACAGUUUUUAGCUUUUAACUUAAAUUGAGUCUCCAGACAAGCAUGGCAGAAAAGCAGAAACCAUCUGCCCCCAGGUGACCUGACGGCCUGGUGAAAUAAUGACAGUAGCUGGCAACAGAAGAGUUGAGAGGAGAAGCAACCCCUCAUGGGGUGCGACCCAGACCGAUUUGGUAGGCAUUUCCCCAGGGGCACACAGCACAGCACAGUCAGGACAUGGAUGAGGCCCCAGGCCUUCCCAUUCCCUCUGGAAAGAGUACGAAUUCUAGGGCAUUUUAUUAAUAUAACAGUUUAUUCAUACCUUGUACAUUUUGCAUAUGCAAAAUUAGCUUCCGAGCUUUACUUUUAGAUUUUAGAACUUUUUCCACCCUGUGGGCUGCAUAAACAGGUCAGCAGGUUAGCUCUUCAGUUUGUAGCAAAUAGAAAAUGUGGAGCUAAUUAAAGGUCAAGGACACCACGGUACCUGGUAUUUUUGGGGCCUUUCUUGUGUGGUUGCUGUCUCUGGUGAUGAGGUGAGGGAUCCGGCUGUCUGUGAAGCACCAAGAUGGUUUGGGUGUAAAGCCAAGCUGCCAGUCUUGGUGUCUCCUGAGUUUAGUGUCUGAUCACAGGGAACCAUGACAUGACAAAGGCAUGUCUGCAGAGGUUGGCCUCUUGGCCGAGGGUGAGGCAGGCACAAGACUGCACAGAGGAAGCGGGGGGCACACCAAGUCCUCUGGUGUGUUCUUUCAAGCCACAACACAAAAGAAAACCACAACAAGAAGCAAGGAAACAAUUCACACCGAGGACAAGAAUGAAGCCUGGGGGUUGUCCAGGGGUUAUGCUCACCUCCAAGGCCAGUGGUGGCACCCUUGAGAGGCUGACCCAGGCUCAGGUGCACAGAGGCCACCUGAGGACAUGGUGUGUCCUGAAUUCUACGGGGAGUCUUUCUAUUCAUUAUUUAUCCUUACCUUUAUAACCUCUCUCACACACGGUAUCUUAUUUAUUAUUUUAUUUUUUUCCUUCUUGAGACAGGGUCUUACUCUGUUGUCCAGGCUGGAGUGCAGUGGUAUGAUCCCAACUCAUUGCAGACUUGACUUCUUGAGCUUAAGUGAUCCUCCCACCUCAGCCUUCUUAAGUGCUGGGAUUACAGACUCCAGCCAUUAUACACAGCCUCAUGUAUUCUUUUAAAGUGAGGAAAAUGACCAUAUCCCAAACUUGAAUUAUAACAAAACCUGCACAAGCCUUCAACACAGCCCUCAAAAUGUCCUGUGAAAAUGUGGUUUGGGAAAAACUCACCUUUGGAGAUAAUUUAGGGACAAGGAACCAGCAAAGGAUCAUCCUGAAGAUAUGGCCCACAGAAGAAUGAUGGGACACAGGCAGGUGAGUCAGAGCACUGACCAGAAGGUGUGGCCGCAUGCUACCUGAACAGCAGGUGACACUGGUGGAGGGAGUAGCCUCCGCUGCAAACCAGAGGCGAGGGUGGAGAUACAAGAGUGUGGGGAGGUGGCAGGGCCUCUGGGGAGAGGGAUGUGGUCUGGCCAAGCUUGGGGUUGGAAAAGCCCAACUUGGAAAUGAUUUCCUUGGGAGUAGGCUGCAGGGAAUUUAGUGCCACACAUCUAUUGAAGGAUGUCUUCCAAGCUCCUUACAUGCAGAACCAGAACCGGAAGUCCUCACUUAUUAUCAUUUUAUUCUUGGGGCUCCACCUUCCUUAAGACAUCAAAUGAAUCAGGAUUGAACUGAACCAAAGUUUAAAACUAUCUGCACAGAAGUGCCACAGCACUGAAUAUUGCCAGAUUGCAGGCUUCUGGCCAAAGCAGCAAAGUUACCUUCUGAAAACCUGCAAGGCUAGGAAUGAGCCUCACCCAGGGAAUCACCCAAGGCUGGAAGGAAGUUCCAGCCACAGGGAGGAAGGCAGUUCAGGUGUACAGCCACAAGGCCGCACUCACUGGGGCUCUGGCCUGCAGAGGCUCCCAGGUCAGGGAAGGCAGGAAGCACAGUGCUUCAGUGAGUAGCAGAGAAGGCCUUUGAUCCUCAGAAAGGAAGAAAAGAAAAGGAUUAGCUAGGGGGGCACAUUGCUUCAUGCCUGUAAUCCCAGCACUUUGGGAGGCUGAGGCAGGCAGAUUGCUUGGGCCCAGGAGUUCCAGACCAACCUGGGCAACACAAUGAGACCCCAUCUCUACCAAAAAAACUCAAGCAAACAAAAAUUGGCUGGGUGUGGAGGUGCGCACCUUGGGAAGCUGUGGUGGGAGGAUCACUUGAGCCAUGGAGGUGGAGGCUGCAGUGAGCUAUGAUUGCUUCACUGCACUCCAGCCUGGGUAACAGAGCGAGAUCCUGUCUCAAAAAAGAAAACAAAAAAUGAGAACGUGCAGAAAUAGAAAGGAAUAAGCAAAAAUAAUCUAAACAAGGAGUGGAGACAAAAAGUGCAGGGAAAAUGACAGAAAACUGUCCACUCAUCUGAAACACAGGUGGUGUCCCUGUACCGAGACGAUUGGUAACCUCCACGCUCUAGGGCUGGCUGCAGGCAGGCUUGGAAUGAGGAGGAAUUUUCAGAAAAGAACACCUCAAAAUGGAAAUAUUUCAAAGACCAAGCAGUGUAAAAGCAUUUCCAGGAAGACCUAGGCUUUAGACCCUACUGAAGGGCUCCCAGGCCCAGGCUUCCCCUGGGCAGGGGUGGGGUCUCUCAAGCAGUUUUGCCUCCUCUUCAUGGAAAUACCAUGGUCCUAGAAUAGAAUCUAGGCCUAAAGAGGGGCCUCCCUGGCCUCCAGGGGAAGAAGCACUUUAGUGUAAAUGUAAAUUUUUUUUCAAUAGUUUUGUUUUAUGUUGUUUGAACACUCUCUAGGGGAAUCCGCUGCACACGCCAAUGUGGGCAGCAUUCAUCCUAGUAGUUCUACCAAAGGGAUCUGGGUCUGAGGACUUGGAGUUCAUUACAUGCUCCUGCUGGGGCCUGACAAAGGUGCUGCAGCAGCAUCCCAGGUGGCCUCAGGAUGGAGCUGCGAGGACACGGGAUCCCCAAAGGUUAAUGAAGUUCUCUCAUAACCUCCACAGCGAGGACAUUCUCUAUCAGGAGAACCAGCCCUGGAGAACUACUUGUGCUUGUCCCAGUUCUGAGCACUUGGUACUUUAACUCAUUCAAUGCCUACAGCCACCAGAUUUGAAAAAGUGAGAGGAAGCCCAGGUGUGUCGAGUCACUUGUUCAAGCUUGAGCAGCUGGCCUGUGGCCAACCCAGCAUCUGAAAUCAGGUGCUGCAAGUCAAAGUCCAGCCCUGUCCUCUGGCUCCCGGGACUUCUGUCACCUGUGCUCUCUGGGGUCCACUUCCUCAUGCUGCAGCCUCUGCCAGUCUCCAGUGAUGGGAAGGGUCAGCAUAGCCCGUGCUCAGCCUGACCCAGGCUCUUCUCUACUAAAGCAGAAUGGGGGGGAGCGGUGAGUGAGUUAAUGCCAGAUGUUUGUUCAUGGUGGAGCAGGGGAUUCAGCUCAGGCUCUGCUGGGUGGGUGGCAGGCACAGGCUGAUCCCUAUCUGUCCUGCAGAGGGCAGCCCUGUCCCCAAGGUCACAGAGCUGGUUCUGCCUUCUGACACUGAGCUGUUUGAGAUUUUGCUGUUUCCAUGAACUCUCCAUGGAGUUCUCUGGCCUGCUCUGCUUUCAUGGUGUUCUUUCUAGAACGCUUGGCUGACAAUCGGCAGGGCAGGAGGUGGGGAGCACUCAGGACCAGUGUGGCUACCAGUGAAGCCCAGCUUCCUCUGUCCUGAGACACCUCCAGCCCCAGGCCCUCCCCUGCCUCCCUGGCCCAGAGCCUCCAGCCUCUCCUCAGCUCCCUCCCACAUAUUCUUGUCUUCAUGUUGUCAUGAUGCCCUGGGAGGCCCUGGCUGAGGCAGGUUUUCUGCCCUCCUUCCAGAAUACUUUCAGGCUGGCUAAAUGGCAGGCACGUCUUUUUCCCAGGAUGAGCCUGUCCUGUGCACCAUCGGCCUAACCCCUGCUGAGUUCCUGGGCUGUCCAGCAUGUGGCCCAGCUGCCCUGAGGGUUGUCAUCAUGAUGAGCAGACAUUCUCAUUGCUGGGAUCUGGGCUGUCUAACAGUGAACCGAUUCCAUGUCCAAGCCCCUGACUCUCUCCCCAGUGGAACUGGCCAGCAGCUCAUGGCUGAGUAAAAACUUCCUCUCCACCAGCUGCCAGGCUGCCGACUACUGGUCUGAUUGCGGAGGCCCAGGGCUUGCUGGUGGCCCCUUCCUCCUGCACUGCCUCCUCUAGGGUCUGAGGGGUCCAUGAACGGUCCUCAGGAGCAAGUCUACCUUGAGGACCAGUCUGGACUUGAGGCCCAUGGAGCUCAGUUUGUGAAAUCACAUUCAUGCUGGUGUGUGGGGUAAGUGUAUUCAGAAUUGUGUUUGUAGGUGACAAAGUAAAUAUUCUGAGAUGGCCAAUUUGUUUAGCUCUCCAAGAGUCUGUGACCCCUGAGGCAUUAAAAGCCACCUAUUGGAGGAGACCCAUCCUUCUCCGGAAGGCCUGAGAUGGACUCUUUCCAGUUCCCAUUUUGCUCCCAUUCCCAAAGGGGCAGCGCGUCCGUGGGGAGCCUCAGGCCUGGGCUGGGGAUGAGGGUGUGGAAGGCAGGCCAGCGUCCCAUGACCUUCUGGGGCUCACCUAGGGACCUGCAUGAAUCACUGAAUGCCCCACCAUAGCGUAAAGCCUUCAUGAGGGGCACUGCCAUGGGUUGGGGUAGGGAUGCUGUCAGCAAGGGGCCAGGUCUGUCCCUGCUGUGGGCCUGGGAUAGCAAGAGAGUGUGGUCUGUGGCUGGUCCUGUGUGCGAUUUACCCUCGAAGUGGCUGCAGCAGGGAAGAUGCUGACCAGAGCGCCUGUCCCUUGUCCAGUUUCCUUUGAAACUCACCCAUGUUCCCUUCAUUGUAAUCUCUUGUUCCUGGGCAACUAGACUAACCAUUAGGUGAGUUUUUUGGGCAGAAACCAGAACAGGGCAGGCAUCUGAAAUGGAAGCCUCCCUGUCUUGAUGUCCCUAAGCAGUGCCAGGGCUGUGGCGGGAGCUGCUCUUUGCACUGGGCCGUCACUGAGCUAGAGCCUGGAAGGUGGCAGGGAGCUGCUGGAGCCCAGGUGGAGGCAGCCUCACUCUCACAGGCCUCACAGGAUACUGCUGCUUUCUUUUUUUUAGACCUACCUGAUGACCAGGAUGCUGUUGAUGAGCUGGGGUGGUGGCAUGCCUGUAGUCCGGACUGCUCAGGAGGCUGAGGUGCAGUCCUGCAAAUGAUGCCCAAAUGAUCAUCCAGCAAGGGGAGCAGGUGAACUGCCCGGGAGCUGAAACUGCAUGGAUCGUCCCCGACCCCGCACCGGCGCUGUCCUUUGACCACAAGGGGGCUCCAAGGCCGCACUUGUGGUUGGGCUCAGCAUCCUCGUCAGUGGCCGUAGCUUUUGGGUCACCUUCUCAGCACAACCCUGAAAAAACUUCAUCGUUUAUUCCAGCAACUUCCGGAAAGGCCCAUCAACUCUUCAGUAGAAAGCAGAAACAAAUUUAUCCCUAGGGCUCUCUGAACUUUCGCCUUUUUGUGUUCGACACUUAUAAAUUGUCAUAUUGUGACCCUUAUCCUAGUCCUAAUCAGCCCCACAUUGAAAGACCCCAAACCAGACUUCAUAGUAUCCCAGAUGUCUCAACCCUGCCCUUUUUCCACCACGCGACCUGAGAAGGAUAAGGUCUUCUCAGGUCUUAUCCUAAAGAGAAAGAAGGAGAGCAGGGGAGAGAGGGAGGGACAAAGGGAAAGAGAGAAGAAAAAAGGAAUAAAAGGGGACAAAAAAGAAGGAAAGAAGCAAACGAAAAUAAACAGCAGUAGCUUUUAUUUUCUUUUUAGAGACAGAGUCUUGCAGAAGUGCACUGGUGGGAUCACAGCUCACUGCAGCCUCAAACUCAAGUGAUUCUCCCACCUCAGUGCCCCUGAGCAGGAGUAGCUGGUGCGAGCCAUCGCAGGUGCGAGCCAUCACAGGUGCGAGCCAUCACACCUGGUUCAUUUUUGUAUUUUUUUUUAGAGACUGGGUCUCACUAUGUUGCCCAGACUUGUCUUCAACUCCGGGCCUCAAGUGAUCCUGCUACUGUUGACAGUAGGUAUUUCAGAUGAGUUCUAUGAUUGUUUUUCUACGUAUGAUAUAAGUGAAGUAAAGAAGUAAAAAAUAAUCACCUAAGAUAAAACCAUUUGGAGGAAUUAAAAUUUCUUUUUUCUUAUCCUUUCUAGUGUCUGUUAACACAACAAAUAGUUUAAAAUAAUCUAAGAGAUCAUAAGCAAACCUUUAUGUUUCUCAAACUGAAAAAGAAAUAAAGGUAGGAAAAUCCUGAAGCCACACCCAGCAGAGGAAAUUUACAAGGUCGUCUCAAUGUCUGAAUGUGUAGCAUCACCAUUUAGAGUGUGGAAAUUUCCACAUCAGGUCCAUGUGGUGGACAUCUAAGAGAAACUUGAAAGGCCACAGGGUGAAACAUGUAAUGUGGUUCUGCGUUGGGAAUUUAGGUGCCUGCCACUUUUUUCUACCUUCUAGUUUCUUUGUUUUUACUAAUUUCGACAAUCAACAAGUAUUACAUGAUAGACAAUAAAAAGGAAAAUGAAGAAGGAAAUGGCAAAGACUAUCAACAGACAGCUCAAAGCCAGAAACAUGCAUUGAGGUCUGGCAGGGCUCAGCCUGUGAUCCCAGCACCUUGGGAGGCUGAGGCCGGAGGGUCGCUUGAGCCCAGGAGUUCAAGAUCAACCUGGGCAAUAUAGUGAGACCCCAUUUCUACAAAAAUAUUGAAAAAUUAGCCAAGCAUGGUGGUGCAUGCCUGUGGUGCCAGGUACUUGGGAGGCUAAGGCAGGAGGAUCACUUGAGCCCAGGAGGCAGAGGUUACAGUAAGCUGAGAUCACACCACUGGACUCCAGCCUGGGCAACAGAGCAAGACCCAUUCUCUACAUAUAUAUUUAUAAAUUUUUAGCAGCCAUGAAAACAAUGUUCAACUUCUUUUAUUAUUAAAUGAAAACGAAACUACUGAAAUUCUCUUUUUUUCAUUCUCAGAGGAAUGGGUGUCUCUUUACAUAAUACCCAGGGUAAGAGACAGUGCUGUGAGCCUGCUCAUCAUAAGUAUACAUGAAACCUUCCCAGUGAGGCACGGCACAUACAGGGGUGAGAGACAAUGGGAGGGGCUUGAGAAUUUGUAAAAUUCUUUUUGUGGUAGAAAAGAAAUAGACAACUGUUAAAUUUAUGAAAUAAAUACAAGUAAAUAAAUAUAAGUGUGGAUCUUAAGGACAACCACCAUAAAAAUAAAGAGUGGAUUGCUGCUGGGCACGGUGGCUGAUGGCUGUAAUCCCAGCACUCUGGGAGGCUGAGGCAGUCGGAUUGCUUGAAGUCAGAAGUUUGAGACCAGCCUGGCCAACAUGGCAAAACCCUGUCUCUACUGAAAAUACAAAAAUUGGGCCAGGCGUGGUGGCUCAUGCCUGUAAUCCCAGCACUUUGGGAGGCCGAGGUGGGCAGAUCACCUGAGGUUCAGAAUUCAAGACCAGCCUGACCAAUAAGGUGAAACCCUGUCUCAAAAAAAAAAAAAAAUAAUUAUAAUAAUAAAGAAAAUACAAAAAUUAGUGGGAUAUUAUGGCGUGUUGUAAUCCCAGCUACUCGGGAGGCUGAGGCAUGAGAAUCACUUGAACCCAGGAGGUUAAGGUGGCGGUGAGCCAAGAUCAUGCCACUGCACUCCAGCCUGGGUGACAGAGCAAGGUUCUGUCUCAAAAAAAUCCACAAGACAAAAAAACAGAGUACAUUGCUUUGUAAGGCACCACAGAAAAGCCCUCAAAGCAUGAUCUAUCUGGUGGAUGCAUAAAAUAAAAGUAAGCAGACAAACUCUCUUUGCAAACUACAUCUAUAAGGGACUUUCCUUUUCUUGUUAAAGUUUAUCUACCAAGACCUGCAACUGCCACAUUUAAGACUUUAGGAGCGUCCCCUUUAAAAUCAAGCAUGAGGUCAGAUGUGCAGGUCACUGUGCCAUAGUGAGCUGUGGUUUGCAGGUGCAGUGAUCAUGUAUGGAGACCGUUCACCAAAUGAAACAGCUGUCUCCUGUGUUUUGCACCUCGAGGCUCUCCCUUUGUCGGGGUACCUGCUCCUAUGGGCAUGCCCAGGCUGACUUUAGGAAAGGAGGUGGGACACAGUCAACACUGUGGUUGUUUCCACAGCAGGAAAGUGUUGGUUUCCACCUCUGCAUCCUGGCGGCAUCCUAGGGGCAGCAUAAGAGGCAGAAAGAUGAGCUCCAACGUCAGCUUUUCUAUUUUUUAAUGUGUAUUUAAUACCCUGGGUGUCAGUGCAAAAAUAGCAUGUGUGUGUAUCACAGAUUCUCCUCUCUACCCAUGCACAAACACACUCCUUGACCAAAAAAGUGCAAACCGGAAUUGGAAAAGUGUCCACUCAUGACACUGAAUGUUUUGGGCCUUUUGCUCUCUCAGGUUUUGCGUCACAGAGAUUACUGGGAAACCACAUACACUGCUUGAGUCGGGAGGACGGGACCUUCGGAUUCCAUCCCAUCCACACAGUGAGUGCACAGCCACGUGUAAGAGGCCUAUUGUCAGUGUGCAUAUAGCUAAGAAAGAAGCCGCGUUGCUAACAGGCCAAUUGAUCAUCCAAGCACAAUUAUUUAAGUAAUCAAAACAAACUGUUAAUCCAUUAGGCCAAUUGUGAGACUGAGAUGUGCUGUUACUAAACAAUUAUUAAAUAAGCCGUGUGUGUCACAUAAAGAUUGAAGUAGAAUUUGGGAAUGUCAUAAUUUCUAUUUUUUUUUUUGAGACAGAGUCUUGCUUUGUCACCCAGGCUAGAGUGCAGUGGCAUGAACUCGGCUCGCUGCAACCUCUGCCAGCUGAGUUCAAGCAAUUCUCUGCCUCAGCCUCUUGAGUACAGGUGCCUGCCACCACGCCCAGCUAAUUUUUGUAUUUUUAAUAGAGACAGGGUUUCGCCAUGUUGGCCAGGCUGGCCUUGAACUCCUGACCUCGUGAACCACCCCUCUUGGCCUCCCAAAGUGUUGGGAUUAUAGGCAUGAGCCACUGCGCCCGGCCAGGAAUGUCGUAAUUUCUAACUCAAACAUUGGUUCUCAACUGAAAAAAUAAGAGGAAAUGUAAGAGUUAAGCAGAAAACAGUUUCCAUUGUCAACUCUGUCCUACAGGAAUUUUAAACACAUAGAUGCCCAGGGCCACACCUGGAGACAUCAGUGCAGGAUAUGGGACUGGGCUGGGGAGCAGCUCUUUUGAAGAGUCUCACGAUCUUUCCAUUGAAAAUAGUGACACGAAACUGGCAUUUUCUUUCCUCUCCAGAAUCAGAUCUGACAGUAAGUAUGACGAUCUCCAUGUGCAUGAGGGAGAGUUGCAAGGCUGACCUGUCCGUGGAGAGGUUCACUGACCAGGGCUGGGGAGGGCGCACUCAGAAUGGGCUUCAGGAGGAGGGGCAUCCUGCCUCCCAAAUUAAAACAUCCCCCUUACAAGUUCAGCAACAAGUGCAGCUGCCUUCUCUGAGAGGAAUAAAUCAUUUGCAAUAAAAAAAAUGCCACAGCAUGGACACCCCCUUUAAAGGUCAUGCUAAGUGAGAGAAGCCAAAUGCAAAAGGCUAUGAUGCUAGAUCGUAUGAUCAGAUGCCAUUUGCAUCAAGUGCUGAGAGAAGGACAUCCACAGACGGAAAGUGGGUGUCAGGAUGGGGGCGGGGUGAGGCGACAGAAGUGCUGGAAAACUGGAUUGUGGUGAGCUUGCUCAACUGCACACAUUAGCUAGAAAUCAUUGAUUCACACCUAAAAUGGAUGAAUUUUUUCUUUUCUUUUUUUUUUCGAGACAGAGUUUCACUCUUGCAAGCCACCAUGCCUGGCCAAAAAUAGAUUAAUUUUAUGCAGGAAGGAGGUGUAGAUACCCACACCCAGGAGCAGGUCAGGUGCAGGUGAAAGGCCCCAGCAGGGCUGGCAGGGCCAGGGGGAAGACUCUGUGGCCCAGCAGCUGGUUCUGAGCCAGGUUCUGCUGCCCCUUGACAGACAUUUUAGAAACCUCAGCCUCUUCAUCUCCAUAAGCUGGGGUGAUGGCACUGCAGGCUGGCAGGCUACACUGGAGAUGCAGCCCUCCAGGUGGAGAAUGGGGUGCCACUCUGCCCACAGCCAGGAGCAGAGGGUCCUGUCUGGGGGCUCCUAGUGUGACCUCAGAGUGCCCAGGGGGCCACUGAGUCCAGCAGCUUGUGGAGCCCAUAUGCACACUCAGCUUUCCUGGGGCCAUAUCUAAAAAGUAGAAAGAAGCAGGUGCAAUUCAUCUUAUAGAUUUUAACGAAAUAUACUCCAAAUAUCAUUACUCUAAUAGGUACUCAGUAUAAUAUUUAUUUAUUUAAUUAUUUAGUUUUGAGAUGGAGUCUCACUCUGUCACCCAGACUGGAGUACAAUGGCAAGAUCUCGACUCACUGCAACCUCCACCUCCCGGACUCAAGUGAUUCACCAUGUUGGCCAGUCUAGUUUUGAACUCCUGACCUCAGGUGAUCCACCCAGCUAGGCCUUCCAAAGUGCUGGGAUUACAGGCAUGACCCUCUGUGCCUGACCUUUGUUUUGUUUUUUAUUUUUUUUUUGAGAUGGAGUCUUGCUGUGUUGCCAGGCUGGAGUGAAGUGGCACAAUUUCGGCUCAUGGCAACCUCCACCUCCCAAGUUCAAGUGUUUCUCCUUCCUCAGCCUCCUGAAUAGCUGGGACUACAGGUGCAUACCACCAUGCCCAGCUAAUUUCUGUAUUUUCGGUAAAGAUGGAUUUUACCAUGUUGGGCCAGGGUGGUCUUGAUCUCUUGACCUCGUAUUCUGCCCGCUUCAGCCUCCCAAAGUGCUGGAUUACAGGCGUGAGCCACUGUGCCCGGCCAAUUAUUAUUUUUAUUUAUUUCAGAGAGGGAGUCUCUGUAACCCAGGCUGGAGUGCAGUGGUGUGAUCUCAACUCACUGCAGCUUCCACCUCCUGGGCUCAAGUGAUUGUCCUCCUGCCUCAGCCUCCAGAGUAGCUGGGACCACAGACACGUGCCACCACACCUGGCUAACAUUUUUGUUGCUGUUGUAGAAAUGGGCUCUCCCUUUGUUGCCCAGGCUGGUCUCAAACCCCUGGUCUCAAGUGUUCCUCUCACCUCAGCCUCUCAAAGUCCUGGGAUUACAGGUGUGAGCCACUGUGACUAGCCAUGUAACAGUUAUUAACCAGACAUUUUACAACCUUUUUUUCUUACAAAGUAUUCAAAGUCCAGUGUGUACUUUGCCCUCACAGCACAGCAUUUUCAUUUGGACCUGCCAUGUUUCAAAUGUCCAGCCGUUGCCUAUAGCUCCUGGUCACAGUCGUGGACAGUGUGGGUGGGAGGCACACAGGACAAGGGAGGGGGUUCUCCAAGCCUGGGGGUGCCAGCUACCCCAGGGGUGUGCCCAUCCCUUCCUCUCUCUGCAGCAACAGCCCAGGAGGCCCAGGGACAGGUAUCCAGGGCCCGUGGGAGUCUCCUCUGCAGGCAUGAGAAGCCACCCUCACAGACAGGCCCAGGUGGUGCCCUCUCCCUACCCACCCUGGGAGCUGGGCACUUGCUCUCUUCACCAGCAUGUUGGCCAGGCUGAGACCGUUGAUAUAGGACCUAGCUCUGGGUUGUGGGGCUGGCUGCUGUGGAGAGCACUGGUGGAGCCCAGGGCUUCAGAACAGCAAGGGGCCCAGGGGCCCAGGUCAUGCCUGGCACAGAUGAAUGCACACCUGCUAAUUGUUCUCAGCAAGUCUUUUCACUAUUACUACCCUGAAGGCCAGCUUGUGAGAGCCAGGCUCCCUCUCAAUACCUGAGCCUGAAUAUUUCUUUGAAUGAUAGGAACUAAAAUCAACAACAUACAAAACAAACAAAUGAUGGGGGAAAAAGGGGACUGAGAGAGAGUGAGGGAAACGUCUUUACCAGUCCUUGCAGAUUGGCUCUGUCCAGGAGUCCUUUUUAAAAACUACCUGUUUCCAAAACUUUUUCAACACCCUGAAAAUAAACUCUGUGCCCGUUAAGCAAUACCUCCCAGUUCCUCCCUGCCCUCAGCCUCUGGUCACCUGCAAUCUACUUUCUGUCUCUCUGAAUUUGCCUAUUCUAGAUAUUUUAUAUAAGUGGAAUUAUGCAAUAUUUGUUCUUUUGUGCUUUUUUGUCUGGCUUAUUUCAUUUAGAACAAUGUUUUCUAGGGUCACCCAUGUUUUAGUGUGUAUUAGAACUUCAUUUGUUUGUACAGUCGAAUAAUAUUUCAUUGUAUGUAUAUAACACGUUUUGUUUAGCCAUUCAUCUGUUGAUGGACACUUGGGUGGCUUUCACACUUUAGUUAUUGUGCAUAUGUAUUCUGCUGUUGACGGCAGAGUGUUCUGUAAAUGUCUGUUGGAUCCUGAUGGCUGGUAGUCUUUUUCAGGUCUUCUAUAUCUUUGGUGAUUUUUUUUUUGUUCGUUUGUUUAGUAGUUCUAUCAAUUGCUAGAGAGGGUUGUUGAAGUCCUGACUGUAUAGAUUUGUUUAUUUCUUUUUUUGUUGUUUAUUUUUAAAUUUUUGUUUCAUUUUCUUACAUGACCAUUCCUCAGGAAGAUUUGUUUAUUUCUUGUCUCAGUUCUAUCAGUUUUUCUUUUAUGUAUUUUGAAGCUCUUUUGUUUGGUGCAUACACAUUUAGGAAUGCUAUGUUCUUUUGAUAUGCAGACCCUUCUUGUCAUUAUGUAAUGUCUCUCUUUGGAAUUUUCUUUGCUUUGGGAAGUCUACUUUAUUUGAUAUUAAUAUAAGCACUCUUGUUUGUUUUUUUUUGGUAUGGUAUGUCUUUUCUAGCUUCCUUCCUUCCUUCCUUCCUUCCUUCCUUCCUUCCCUUUCUUCCCUUUCUCUCUCUUUCUUCCUUCCUUCCUUCCUUCCUUCCUUCCUUCCUUCCUUCCUUCCUUCCUUUCUUUCUUUCUUUCUUUCUUUCUUUCUUUCUUUUUUCCUUCCUUCCUUCUUUCUCUCUCUUCCUUCCUUCCUUUCUUUCUUCCUUUUCUUUCUUUCAAGACACGGCCUCACUUAUGUUGCCCAGGUUAGAUUCCAACUCCUGGGCUUAAUGGAUCCUCUCGCCUCAGCCUCCUGAGUAGCUGGGAUUACAGGUAUGAGCCACCACAUCCAGUGGUAUCCUUUUGCUUUUUUUUUUUUUUUUUGAGACAGAAU